rnacentral:tRNA from 3 species
GCCCAUGUAGCUUAGCGGUAGAGCACCCCCUUGGUAAGGGGGAGGUCACGAGUUCGAUUCUCGUCAUGGGCUCCA